rnacentral:rRNA from 1 species
UACGGAGGGUGCAAACGUUGCUCGGAAUCAUUGGGCGUAAAGCGUGCGUAGGCGGCACGGCAAGUCGGAUGUGAAAGCCCUCGGCUCAACCGAGGAAGAGCAUUCGAAACUACCGCGCUGGAGUACCGGAGAGGGUGACGGAAUUCCCGGUGUAGAGGUGAAAUUCGUAGAUAUCGGGAGGAACACCUGUGGCGAAGGCGGUCACCUGGACGGUCACUGACGCUGAGGCACGAAAGCGUGGGGAGCAAACAGG